GACGAACGCUGGCGGCGUGCUUAACACAUGCAAGUCGAACGGAAAGGCCCUGCUUUUGUGGGGUGCUCGAGUGGCGAACGGGUGAGUAACACGUGAGUAACCUGCCCUUGACUUUGGGAUAACUUCAGGAAACUGGGGAUCAUACCGGAUAGGAGCUCCUGCUGCAUGGUGGGGGUUGGAAAGUUUCGGCGGUUGGGGAUGGACUCGCGGCUUCUCAGCUUGUUGGUGGGGUAGUGGCUUACCAAGGCUUUGACGGGUAGCCGGCCUGGGAGGGUGGCCGGCCACAUUGGGACUGCGGUACGGCCCAGACUCCUACGGGAGGCAGCAGGGGGGAAUAUUGCACAAUGGGCGGAAGCCUGAGGCAGCAACGCCGCGUGCGGGAUGACGGCCUUCGGGUUGUAAACCGCUUUCGCCUGUGACGAAGCGGGAGUGACGGUAAUGGGUAAAGAAGCACCGGCUAACUACGUG
rnacentral:rRNA from 1 species